GGGGACGAUACGGCUUCGACGGGAGUGUGAAGUCCCAGAUGCAUAUCGAGGUUUCCGCCAGGCCUCGUUAAACAGGCGGAAAUAGUAAUUGGCAACGAUUACGCAAUGGCUGCUUAAUUUAAUUAAGUAACCCGUCUUACCUGGCUUCGCUCGUGAGUUAGGAUAAGACGUCAUUCAGCGGGCUAGUUGGUCACCACUCGCAGGCGGGUGAUCGGCGAAACAAAGUCUGCGGAGGAUAUCCGAAGUUUGUUUGUGGACGCCGGAUGUCCAAUCCAAAACACAAACUAAAUAUGUAGAUUCUGGCGAGGGAUCACUUUCGGACCCGGGUUCAACUCCCGGCGUCUCCACCA
rnacentral:tmRNA from 1 species